rnacentral:rRNA from 1 species
UACGAAGGGGGCUAGCGUUGUUCGGAAUUACUGGGCGUAAAGCGCACGUAGGCGGAUUGUUAAGUCAGGGGUGAAAUCCCGGGGCUCAACCCCGGAACUGCCUUUGAUACUGGCAUUCUCGAAUCCGGAAGAGGUGAGUGGAAUUCCGAGUGUAGAGGUGAAAUUCGUAGAUAUUCGGAGGAACACCAGUGGCGAAGGCGGCUCACUGGUCCGGAACUGACGCUGAGGUGCGAAAGCGUGGGGAGCAAACAGG